rnacentral:rRNA from 1 species
UACGUAGGGUGCAAGCGUUAAUCGGAAUUACUGGGCGUAAAGCGUGCGCAGGCGGUUGUGCAAGACCGAUGUGAAAUCCCCGGGCUUAACCUGGGAAUGGCAUUGGUGACUGCACGGCUAGAGUGUGUCAGAGGGGGUGGAAUUCCGCGUGUGAGCAGUGAAAUGCGUAGAGAUGCGGAGGAACACCGAUGGCGAAGGCAGCCCCCUGGGCUGACACUGACGCUCAGGCACGAAAGCGUGGGAGCAACAGG